rnacentral:rRNA from 1 species
CCUACGGGCGACAGCAGUGGUGAAUAUUGCACAAUGGGGGCAACCCUGAUGCAGCGAUGCCGCGUGAGUGAAGAAGGAUUUCGGUAUGUAAAGUUCUAUCAGCAGGGAAGAAAAUGACGGUAGUUGAUUAAGAAGCCAUGGCUAACUCCGUGCCAGCAGCCGCGGUAAUACGUAGGGGGAAAGCGUUAGCCGGAUUUACUGGGUGUAAAGGGAGCGUAGACGGCUGCACAAGUCUGGAGUGAAAUGCCGGGGCUUAACCCCGGAACUGCUUUGGAUACUGGGCAGCUAGAGUGUAGGAGAGGGAAGUAGAAUUCCUAGUUUAGCGGUGACAUGCGUAGAGAUUAGGAGGAACACCAGUGGCGAAGGCGGCUUACUGGAC